AUUGAACGCUGGCGGCAUGCCUUACACAUGCAAGUCGAACGGCAGCACGGGAGCAAUCCUGGUGGCGAGUGGCGAACGGGUGAGUAAUAUAUCGGAACGUGCCCAGUCUGGGGGAUAACGUAGCGAAAGCUACGCUAAUACCGCAUACGAUCUAUGGAUGAAAGCGGGGGAUCGCAAGACCUCGCGCGAUUGGAGCGGCCGAUAUCAGAUUAGGUAGUUGGUGAGGUAAAGGCUCGCCAAGCCGACGAUCUGUAGCUGGUCUGAGAGGACGACCAGCCACACUGGGACUGAGACACGGCCCCAGGACUCCUACGGGAGGCAGCAUGGGGAAUUUUGGACAAUGGCGCAAGCCUGAUCCAGCAAUGCCGCGUGCAGGNUGAGCUCGGUGUACUAGUCUUGUACGAGAACGGUAG
rnacentral:rRNA from 1 species